rnacentral:rRNA from 1 species
UACGUAGGGGGCUAGCGUUGUCCGGAUUUAUUGGGCGUAAAGAGCGUGUAGGCGGCCAGAUAGGUCUGCUGUGAAAACUCGAGGCUCAACCUCGAGAUGUCGGCGGAAACCAUUUGGCUAGAGUCCGGAAGAGGAAAGUGGAAUUCCUGGUGUAGCGGUGAAAUGCGCAGAUAUCAGGAAGAACACCCGUGGCGAAGGCGGCUUUCUGGGACGGUACUGACGCUGAUGCGCGAAAGCUAGGGGAGCAAACGGG